rnacentral:lncRNA from 1 species
UCGCUGAAAGUCUACUUUCUUUUACGGGCACGGCGUGAGAAAGUAACCAAGCGGAUGAAAAUUCUCCAAAACCCUAUCCCUGGAUGUAAUAAAGGUGCAUAUUAAUCUCAACAAGAAGUCUAUAUUUUUUAUGUUUACAUUCUGUCCCACCAAUGUCUAGAUAUGUAUUGAAAAGUAAGGAUUAUAAAAUUCAAAUAAGGGGGAAAUAAGAGAAUAUACAGAGACCUCCACAUAUGAUAAAUAAUAUAAAGAUGUAGUUUCGAUGUUGUGUGGUGGUCCAGUAUCGCACCCUUUGGAAAAAAAAUCAGGGAGGUAUUUGGGUCCAAUCUGUAACAUCAAUCCAGUGUGGUAUAUCAUCCCUGCUUUCACCACCUGUACCAUUAAUCCAGUGUGGUAUAUUAUUGCUGCUUUGCCCAUCUGUACCAUCAAUUAUCAAAGAACCAACGGCCACAUUUCAUUGUUGAUUAACAGUGACUAAUUUAACUUGAGAUGCAAAUAACCCAUUGGUGUAACUGUAGUUCUAAUACCAAAGAUAGUCUCCGGUCAUGAUCAAGCAACCAGAGUUAUUCCGCUUAAGGGAAAUAAAUAACAUAGCAAAAAUAAAUAAAUAAAUAACAAUGUCCGUGCCUGCUUUGGGGCCGCAUCAUAAAUAUUUCUCUAAUGUAGAACACUCCAGUGGAGUCUAGUUUUACAACAACAGAGUGACCCAGGCAGUGUGCAAUAUUUGUGCAGGAAAACAGAGCUGAGUUUAGAUGUAGUAGAUGAUUGAUUACAAAACAACAAAAGAAUAAUAUACAUAAGCAAACCAGCAAAACGAAAAAUAAUGUCACAUACAACAAAAUUUGGCAACUUGCAAAGUCUCAAAUUCGAGGCAAUAUAUUAUUACUUGACUUAGUAUAAACAUAAUAAAGUUCAAUUGGUUACAUCGAAAGAUAGAGAUCUGUACAAGAACACCGAAGAGCACCAAAUUAUAUGUAGCAUAAGAGUAAAUCCCUGUCAUAUCUAAGAGCGAAGUUCAGCUUGUAAGGACUUCCUUAUAGACGAUGUUCUUCAUCGAGGUCUGUAAGGACAAGGCAGGUCUUUUUCGCUUAUUUGAUUUACUGCUUUGCUUCUUGCCAUUCUCCUUCUCCUUCUCCUUCUCAAUGAGGAUCUUUAUGUUGAUCUUCGCGGUGGCUCGAGACAAUGCAACAUAGAGUUGACCAUGAGAGAACACCGGAUUAGGUAGGUACACGCCAACGAUCGGAAUCGUCUGUCCUUGAGCCUUGUUAAUCGUCAUAGCAAAGCUAAGCCUUACAGGAAAUUGCUUCCUCUUGAACUUGAAUGGAAACAUGUCGUUGUCAGACGGGCAUAGGGGUAUUCGAGGAAGGAAAACCCUCCUACCCGCGUGUUGUCCAAUCACGAUUUCUGCGUCGAUGGCGUUCCUCUGGAAACCUCGCACCACAAGCCUCGUCCUGUUACACAGACCAUUAGCCGGAUCAAUGUUCCUCAGAAGUAUGACAGGGCAGUUGAGCUUCAGUUUGAGUGCAUGCGGAGGCAGACCGUUGGGAGUCAAUCCAUUUAGGAACUCGGGAGCGUAGUAGCCAUACGGGUCGUCUUCUGCACUGUCAAAGCUAUGGCAGAUUACUUCUUCUCCCCGAAAACGCUCUACCAUGCGUAUGUUUAUCUUGUCGACGUUGUCGUUUGUGGUGGAGAGGAUUGCGCGUGAAGUCAUGUAAUUCGGAUCGGACAUGUUGUCAUCUAGUCUCGGAAACACAUGGUCAAUCAGUUUCUCCAGGUUGUCACCCUCGCCUGUAGAUGGCACACAAAUAUCUUCAGGGAGUCGUAUGUUUCCUUGAUCGUCAACUUCCUCGGUUCCAUUGCCUACCCUUAGCAAGUAAUCCGCAAACCAGGUGUCAUUAUGAGCCCUCAUGUUGAUGACGAGCCUUAGCUGGCGCAUACCCUUCCAGAGGUGUGAACUUCGGAGGGUUGCAUCGAUUAUCUGACCCCGGGACCCCCUCCUGACGACCGGAAGCACCUGCCUGAAGUCCUUGCCAAACACAACAGUUUUUCCUCCAAAGGGUCGGUCCCGUCUUCCCAUGAUGUCGCGCAUGCUGUUGUCCAGUGCCUCGACCGCCUGUCGCUUAGUCAUGGUGGCCUCGUCCCAUAGUAUCAAUGAGGCCAUCCUCAGUAGCUUGGCGGUACCACUCUGUUUCGUGAAGGUGCAUGAGGCGCCAUCGUCGCAACUCAAUGGGAUCUUGAACCUCGAGUGGGCAGUCCUGCCUCCAGGCAUGAUAGAAGCGGCGACGCCUGAUGUCGCGGUAGCGAUAGCGAUGUUUCCCUCGCUUCGAACCUUGGCGAGCAGUGCCCUGUACAGGAAGGUCUUCCCUGUACCUCCCGGUCCAUCAACAAAGAACACACCCCCAUCACCGCGUUCAACAGAAGCUAGUAUCUCGUCGUAUGCAACCCUCUGCUCCGAGUUUAGCGACGAAGCCAAUUUAGUGUCGUUGAUGUCAAAAUUGACGUUGGAUUCCUCAAUCACUUCUCUGGCCUCGCCCUCGGUUGGGUCGAACGCAUCGUCAAUGCAUGGAAGAGCGAAAUCAGCUAUGUCUUUGCCCAUGGACUGCAACAUACCCCUAAUGUCAAGCAACACCAUCUGUUCCACCUCAAUCGGGCACGUGUGUGAUCGCCGAUAGUCAUCAGACAUAGGCUUGAAGUGCCUAUCCCAUAAACCACGCACGUCGCCUGGCUCACAGUGCACCAAAAUUGUUGCGAAGAGCCUCCUGAGCGAACAUGGCAUUGCCCACUGCUCUGCCUCGGUAAGACAGUCGUCGAGCGUGUUAUCUGCCUCGAUGAGUCCCAACCUUUCGACAGCCUCUCUAAAGCUCCCGCAUAGCCUACCGUCCACGGUGAGCAGGUCCUCAUAGGAUGUCUUGCCAGCAACAUGGUUUAGCAGCACACGCAGAUAGUAGCGCUCCCCCUCCGUAGGAUUGGCAGACACAAUUCGACCUAUCUGAUAACGCUCCACCCGCUCUUUCCAAUACUUCUUACCCUUCUGCCAUGUGAACCUUCCAGGAAAAUCCUUGUAUAAUAUAUUCCUAGCCCACGGAUGGUUUUGGUUAGCUUUGAAAUACUCUGUCAACAUGGAUUUGGAAGCUUUCUCAGAGGCGACUACGUCGGUCAAGUGAGCUUGCUCAUUGAAUGCCACCCUGUGCAUAUUCGGGAGAUGAAGAGGCAACUGUAGGACAGGCGGGUCAUUGGCACAUAAGGGGAAGCCAAAUAUCCUCCACAUCGCCUCUGGAGGAGUAACCCACCUCGCGUCUACGUAUCUUUUGAUCUCAUCAAUGUUACCAUCGGCGUCUGGCUGGUCGAUGCUGAAAGAAGCCCUAUCAUGGCCCUUGUAUAUGUACUUGUAAAGGUAUUUGACGGCCUUUAUGCUGGAGCAAACCUCAACGUUGAUGUGGCAAUUGAACAUCCGCAGAAGGUAAGGGUUAUACGGCACAACCCAUCUGUUGUCCAACAUUUUACCCCGGACCUUAGCCUGCCGACCAUUAUCUCGACGACAAUAAACAGGGUAUGAGUCCUUGCCUUGUGCCGUGUUUUCAUUGAACGGCCGCGGGUAUCUGCACUUGCACUCGUUUUGUUGCAUGCAAACAUUUUUGGGGUUGAGAGCACCGCAUGGUCCGUGCAUCAUAUGUUUCACCACCAAGGCGUGGAGUUCAGGAUACUUUUGCUUGUCUGGGAGCUCGGCAGAAAUGAGUCAGUCGUACUGCUCCGGAACGACAAGCUUAUAGGCAGAGUCCAUGAUCAUCAAAAAGUGUGUGUGGGGGAGGCCCCUCUUUUGGAACUCGACUACGUAUACAUGUGCGACAACACCCAGGAUAUUCUUCUUGAACAACAUCUCUUUCAUAGCCUCUAGCUUGCCAUGGAACACACGAGCCACAAGAUCAGGUCGGUCUUGCGCAGUCUGGCCAGGAAACAACUCAUUUGUUAUCUCUUCCCAAUUAGGGUUGCAGGUCAUGGUCAAGAAGAUGUCAGGCUUCCCGUAGGUAUGGACAAUUGCCAUGGCAUCCAUAUGCCUCCGCUUCAUGUCACGGUCGCCACCUGGGUACGUUCCAGGGAGCACUAUCCUUACUCCAACAGCGCUUGCCCGGGUCUCCCCGGAUGUAAUUGCAUCAACAACUCCUUUAUACAGGUCGGCACGGAUCUUUGUCUGGUUCUUCCUGUACCAUUUCAACCUACAACUCUCAAUCUUGAUGUACAUGUCCACCCCCCAUUGCUGGAGCAAUCGUGCUCCACAGAGUAUGGGAUUGAAUAUCCCAGGUCGUGUCUGGAGCAUGUAACAGUAGUAGUCUCUCACCGAGAUGCAUAACCUGCUAUUCCACUCUGCACAUGGAUGAGUAACGCGGACAUUAGGAUUCAUAUGAGAAGUAUACAAUUCAUCUAAACGACAGAAUACGCAUAAGGCUUACCUGCGUCCUCAUCAUCACCAUCAUCACCUCUACCUCUUGGUUGUUGCACAACCGGCCAAGGGACAUCACGUUUAGGAAGUUUCGGGUGCCAACCGAGCUCCCCCCUUGGGUAGAGGCGUGGGUAAGAGAGAGGGUCAUACGAGCCAGCCGUCACAUGUAUACUGUGCCUCUGGUUGUCAUUCCCACAAAGUGUAAUCCUACGAUCGAACCUCUUCGCUAGGUCAGUGCCCUCCACCCAAAUUGCAGCGACCUCAGAUGACAGAGGUCUAUUAUACUUCCGUUGGUCUAGUCUCUGGUCAGUGUUGAGGUCUAUCCUGUAAUUGUCGAGGUUGUCCCUGUGUGCACCCAAACUCCUAAACUGCUGGGAGUACGGGUUUUCCCUGAGUAUGUCCACUAACUUACUGACGACAUCUUGGUCUAAUUGCUCGGUGGCAGCCUUGCGAUGGGUUAGGCCUGGGUCGUCGUCGUAGAAGUACAAUUGUAGAUGAUCUGGACGUGAUGUUGGCCCGAAGGAAUGAACGUUGUGGUAGAUGGUGCCGUGCGCCCGGAAUGUGUACACCCCAGACUUAAUGUUUGUGUAGCUUUCAUCAAGGCUGACGCCGAGGGUUGUGAAGGAGAAGUGGCCGUUGAAGAACCGUAUGUUCUCCCGAAAAUGCCUUGAGUCCGCAUCCAUGCUAGACCAAAGCCUCAUUAGCUCCGGGAUGGGCUCUGGUUGCUUCAGCUGGAUCUGCCCACUACGACAGCAGAAUCCCGGGGCCUCGGACACAAACUUCUUGGCUUUGCAGUGAUCGCAAUUUGCGGCAUGCUUCAGGAUGUGUGUGUGGUCUGGGAGGUUUGAGUAGACAUAGUCUAAUGGAUCAUGGUCGACAUAGGUAUUGUGACUUGAGUCUUCCAAUUCGUCGUGCUCCAUGUCAUCAGCAUCUGAGCCUGCAAACAAUGUUUAUAAUUAGUGUGAUAUUUCAAACGGGCGAGCUGCUCAAGUGGGUGUACAUACCUUCACCAGCAAACAGGUAAUACUCAUCGUCAAAGAGGCUAUCAGGGUUGACAUUAUCAUUCAUGAAAUGACUAAGGCAAGCGUCCAUGUCGUCUGCUCAGGUGCGAAACCAAUAAAUGAGGGUUUAGUCUCAAGGGACGCAAGGAGAGUAAGGAUGGGAGUGUUACCUUCACUUCUGAUCGUGUACUCCGGCGUGCUAGAUGAGGUCGAGGCACCGUGUGCUUCCACUACGGUAGGUUGUCCAGUUGAGCUCAUUUCCGGUAUGAAGAUGGACCUGACAGUUGGGGUCAUCACCCUACCUGCAAACCUUUCAUUACGCCGAUCGCGUAGAGCAUUCCUCUCACCAUGCGGUACCUGCGUACAUGUUUUUUGCUUGCCAAUUUUCUGCUGACGCUUCUUUGCCGCCAUACCUCCCUUGCAAGCUCGCUCUCUCCUCCCACGCGCUGCUCUGGACUCAUGACUCUGCUUGUCCACUCCAUUAUCCGCUAUUGUUACCGGAUCACUGGCUUGCUGGUCGGCAUUUUGUAGGUGCACAUUGAUUUCGAUGAGGUUGCCAUGUAUAGCACCAUCACCGAAGGUUCUGCUUAGAUAUGCACCUACAACAUCAUCGAAUCAUUAUUUAUAUAUCAUGAAUGAUUACAUGAUGAAAGAUGAUGGUUGAUAGGAUAUGUACCAUCGGUUUCGGUGUUGCGAAUGUAUGUGGGGGCCACAUUGACCGUAGGAGCAUGAUCUAUUUGUUCACUGUCGAAUUGUUGCGUGAGGACUGAAAGUGCGAGAGUCGGACAAUGUGUGUGAGGGUUGGACAAUGUGCUAGUUAAAUUUGGACGUGGCAUUGCGAUCGAUUCAGCACACGGCGUGUUUUUCUUUGCAGCAUACUUUGCCUUUCUCUUUGCACUUGACUCCCCCCUUUCAUCCUCAGUCAUGGUUUUAGGGUGUUGCACGCGCCAUUCUUGCAACUUCUGAUUUUUUUCUUGAAGAUCGAUCGUUCCGUCACCCACUUUUUUCCGAUAACUUGCUCGCCUUCGCGCGUUUCUCUGCUCAAUUUGCUUGUCUGUUAAGUCACAAUUGUGUUCUUUAUCAGUCUGUUUUUCAUCUAGUUGCUUGUUGGCUGCCUCCUCUUUUUUCUUUCGAUAAGCAGCUCUCCUCCGAGCCUUUAUUUGCUCUUUUUCUCGUCAAGGUCCACCGAGAAUGGUUGACACCCAUUAGUGAUAUCACCGAGAGGUAACAGGGGAACAUUUUGCAUAUCUGCACGGAGGGUUUAGGGUCUUCAUUGUUCAAGAAGAUUUCAUGUACUACACAAACGCUUACUUUAUAUAUCUGCACGGUCUAGUUAAACAAUGAUGUAUUGCUAGAUGUAGUUGGGGUGGUAUCAUCGAGAGGUAACAGGGGAACAUUUUGCAUAUCUGCCCAGGGCUAGUUGAAGCUACUUCUUAAUCUAGGUUUAUUUUUUAUAGAAUCCCUCCGUGUCCAUACAUAAAGUCUAUAUGUACUCAAAAGUCGUAUGUCUGCCCUAUAUCAAAUUGAACCUAAAUGAUCAGGAAUUGUGUUGGUCAAUUAUUUUUAUUCUAUAUUCUUGGUCAAUUAUUCGUGGGGUUGGGGUGAGGAAACAUGUGUCGCCUACAUUAUUCACUAAGAAAGUAUACAUACGGUCAUCAUAAACAUAAUCAUCCUUACCUGAUAUCGUAAGGCCAGUCAGAUUUUCAUCUUGUUGCUUGCUGGAUUCCUCCUCUUUUUUCUUUCGAUAAGCAGCUCUCCUCCGAGCCUUUUUUUGCUCUUUUUUCUCGUCAAGGUCCACCGUGGUUUGUUGACACACAUUAGUGAUAUCACCGAGAGGUAACCCACCCACAUUCAGCAUAUCUGCAUGUGAAAUGAUAAUCACAUUAUGUUGUGGAAUGGAGGGAGUAUAUAUAAUAUCAUCGCAGUGCCUUCCCAUAAAGCAUUCUUACCUGAUAUCGUAAGGGCAGACAAAUUUUCAUCUUGUUGCUUGACGGUAGCCUCCUCUUGUUUCUUUCUAUAAGCAGUUCGCCUCUGAGUUUUUAUCAACUCUCUUUUUUCCUCAAGGUCCACAGAGGGUGGUUGAUCUGCAUUAGUGAUAUCACUAUGAGGAUGGCGUGGAACAUUAUGCGACCUCUCUUCCCAACUGUCACGUUGCAUGCUACCUAGUUAUUUUGUCAGAUUACUGAGAGCUGGCAACGAAUCUACAUUAUAUAGGAAUGAGAUUGGAGGGUUGUCUGCAUGAUCUGCAUUAGUGAUAUCACUGUGAGGAUGGCGUGGAACAUUAUGCGACCUCUCUUCCCAACUGUCACGUUGCAUGCUACCUAGUUAUUUUGUCAGAUUACUGAGAGCUGGCAACGAAUCUACAUUAUAUAGGAAUGAGAUUGGAGGGUUGUCUGCAUCAUGUUAACAUAAAUAUAUAUUGGACCGAAAUAAGGCAAAGUUGUAGGCACAUGGUCUUAACAUUUCGGCAACAUAAUACUUACCCGAAAUCAGAUGGGAAGGUUGAUGAACACAUGUCCUUUCACAAUCGGCCUGUUCAAGAAUCACCCAGUCCGAGUGAGUAAUAUGGGCUCCUACAAGUCACACGCUUGAUCCUUUAGAAUCGGUUCUGCCCAAGUCUGUUAGGUAUGAUUUAUCACAUAAAAAGCAUAAAAGCAAUAUCAGUAUAUAUGCACAGCCUUAAUACUGGACUACUUGGGUAAUUCUUGUGAACAUCGUCGACUCCAGGUAUAACCCCUUCGUUAGAGUCGUCACCAUUUGGCCCCUCCAUCGGGCCUGCAACAUCUCCUGUGAUGGUGUUUGACAUGUAUAACAAAAUAUGUAGCUGAACAUAUAUAUGGAGGUAGAUAUAUACCUGGAGUAUCAUAUGUGCUAUCACCAUCGGUCUCAAGUAUCAUACGUUCGGAGGGAGUAGUAUGGACUCCUAGAAGUCAAGAUGUUGAUACAUUAGAAUCGGUUGUGCCCAAGUCUAUUAGGUAUGAUUUUUCAACUAAAAAGGAUAAAAAUAAACCUUAUACCUGUACUACGUGGGUAAAUUUUGUCAACAUCAUCGGCUACGGGUAUAAUCCCUUCGUUAGAGUCAUCAACACUUGUCCCCUCCAUCGGGCCUGCAACACAUAUAUAGUUGAACAUAUAUAUGUUUGACUUGUGUAGCACAAUUUAUAGGUGAACAUAUACCUGGAGGUACAUGUGAUGAAGUCGUCUGUUCCGCUGGCUUGCUGUGUGGAGUCCCCAUAUGUAACUAAUAAAAAAAAGACAUGUCCAACAGACUCAGGUACAUAGCAAAAACUUGUAAACUGACUCUGCAAGCAGAUCACGUGAAAUACCAACAGUACUAAAGGCCCGUUCCCAUUGUACAGAAAUCCAGUCCAUACGGGCAGAUUGUUACAGAUUUAUGAGUUUUGCUAUAUAUAUAUGAAAAUAGAAAGACAUGUCCAACGGACUUUGCUACUUUCCAUUUGUUUGUAAACUGACUCUGCUGGAUACAAGUUAAGAAUUCAAGAUGCUAAGAUGUCCUGUUCAUCUGACCGCAGGCAGAUGAAGGCCGUCGAAGAUCACAAGCGCAGCUUGCUAUUGUACAGGUUUAGAAUUUAGAAAGGUGACCUAUUUUUUCAUGUGAACUUACCUAUUCUUUGCUAUUCAGAAUGAUUAUUUAUCUUCCCAUUGCUGUGUUAAUUGAUUCAUAUGCGGUUCUGCUAUUCUGACAAGGAUAUCCAUCAAGGUUAUUUGGAGGGACAUAAUGAAACGUCACAAGUUCUACUUUGCUGAUUCUUUCAGAGAAUUGUUUCAUUACAAAUGCGCUGUCGCGGACAUGUAUUAAUCCCAAAUUCCAAAUCACUCUGGAAUCCAGUCAAAAUCCAGUCAAAAUCACUCUGGAAUCCUUCUCCGUAAUUGAUUCGCAAACUACUCUCAAGGACUGCUCUGAACCUCAAAUAUCGUGGGCACAUGAAGUUGUGGUGUGAUUUUUACAGAAACAAGUGAUCCAGGCAGCAAGGUAUUGAUUGAUGCAACUAUGUUGUAAUGUUUCAGUGACUGUUAAUAUUUUUUUAGGAAGGAUAACCAAUUUAGAUGAUACCCAAGGAGUUCUGGAUGGGAGAUUGUUUAUUUCUACGUCGUGCAAUUCAACAUUUCAGUACUAAAAGUAUUUUUCAUGUUAUCUAGAUUGGGGUACAUCCUUUGUAAACUAAUAUGAGGCCUUUUAGGUCACGGAAGUAGUGACCUAAAAGCUCUUGUUUACAGAGGGGUUUGAUUUGUGAGGUCCGAGCGCGGGCAGCGGCCGGCGGUGGAGGUGGAAAAAGAAGUCUGGCAUGGGUUGAUUUAGUUUGAACACGAAUCCAUCAGGAUCGCCCUGAUCUGUACACGUAGACAUAACAAACAAACAAAACAUGUGUGUUCAUACCUGGGGUUGAAACCGUACAGCGUCGCCGAUCGCACGUUCCGUGGCGGCGCGUGAUCCAAAAACUGCCAGCGAUCCAGAAACGUGGCGGCGACAGUCGUUCCGCGGCGGCGGUGCUGUGGAGUGCGCAGAUCGCACGACGGCUGCGCAGAUCUGAUCGGCAGCGGGGUAUGGGGAUUGGCGGCGGGGUAUGGGGCAUGGGGAUCCUGAUGGGCGGCAGGGCGCAGUUUCUUUGGCUACCUGCGUGGGUGGGGUUCGGUGUGUGGGUGUGGGGGUGGGGGUAAUUUGAUGGAAUAAAAACCAGACGAAAAAAACCGGUUGACUCUGCUGGAUACAAGUUAAGAAUUCAAGAUGCUAAGAUGUCCUGUUCAUCUGACCGCAGGCAGAUGAAGGCCGUCGAAGAUCACAAGCGCAGCUUGCUAUUGUACAGGUUUAGAAUUUAGAAAGGUGACCUAUUUUUUCAUGUGAACUUACCUAUUCUUUGCUAUUCAGAAUGAUUAUUUAUCUUCCCAUUGCUGUGUUAAUUGAUUCAUAUGCGGUUCUGCUAUUCUGACAAGGAUAUCCAUCAAGGUUAUUUGGAGGGACAUAAUGAAACGUUACAAGUUCUACUUUGCUGAUUCUUUCAGAGAAUUGUUUCAUUACAAAUGCGCUGUCGCGGACAUGUAUUAAUCCCAAAUUCCAAAUCACUCUGGAAUCCAGUCAAAAUCCAGUCAAAAUCACUCUGGAAUCCUUCUCCGUAAUUGAUUCGCAAACUACUCUCAAGGACUGCUCUGAACCUCAAAUAUCGUGGGCACAUGAAGUUGUGGUGUAAUUUUUACAGAAACAAGUGAUCCAGGCAGCAAGGUAUUGAUUGAUGCAACUAUGUUGUAAUGUUUCAGUGACUGUUAAUAUUUUUUUAGGAAGGAUAACCAAUUCAGAUGAUACCCAAGGAGUUUUGGAUGGGAGAUUGUUGUAGGGGUACGUAGCAGAAAAUAAAAUUUUUCCUAUGGUUUCACCAAG